rnacentral:tRNA from 7 species
GCCGCAUUCGUAUAAUGGCUAUUAUAUCUGCUUGCCAUGCAGAGGACGCCGGUUCGACUCCGGCAUGUGGCUCCA